rnacentral:snRNA from 1 species
AACAACGGGAAAAAGAGAAAACA